GUCAAAUACUUAAUUCAUUUGGUGAAAUCAAGAAGUGACUUCAUUUUGAUUCUAAUGUUGAAUGAUUACCAACCAUUAUAUAUGUAUAAAUAAAUUAACAUAAAUUUGGGGCCUAUAAUAAAUUUUAAAUGAAAAUUGAAAAUAUUAGUAGGUAAAUUCGAAGCACGUCAAAGAAUACUAACUACCGGUUUGAUUUCAUCACGCGGCCGCACAAGGCUAUUCACAGCCACAGCGUGAGUCACCGACCACAAUCGUCCUGCCUACCGCCUGGUUGCACCGGACGCUCAAUACAGGCCGAUACCAUUUACGCACGACCACCGUUCAUUGUAUGACCGUAAGCGUAAUUGAAACGCGUUUAUCUUUACUACUACCGUAUGCUACUUUUGAUUUUGAUCACACACUCACCCAAGAGAUUUAUUGAAAUCGAAGCUUUUUAUAUCUCAUGCUAUUUAUUGACAUUUCAAAAAAAUUAUAUAGAAUUUCGGAGCCAUUAGGCUCAUAGGUAUUAUGGAAACGAAAAAGCCAAGCGAAACAAUAAGUCUCUAUAUAUGUAUAUUAACGAAAAUUUAUAUUUUUAUAUCAUUUUAUUUAUUUUUAUUAUUUAUUAUUAUUUACUUAUUGUUGUCAAUAUUAUUAUAAGAGUAGGUGGUUUUGAGUCGAAAGGAUUCGGAUUUAAUUUCAACAGUGAAUUCCAUUUAUUAUUUGAUACAUUAAAAAACAGGCUAUUUAUAUUAAUUUCCUCUCAGAGAGGACAGUAUACUGGUGAAUGUACUGUAUUUUACCAGUCCAACAUUCACAGGUUAGCUGAUCAUUAUAAGUAAUUAGUCAUAAAGUUCAUUUUAAAUUAAAUAUUGUAAACAUGAUGUUCUAUAAUGUAAAUAUGAAUGUGUGUAAUGCUUAUAUAACUCUGAUAACUUCUCAAUAUUUUCGUCAUUACCAAUAUAAUUUUCACAUACCCCCAAUGGGACACUAAAAUACCCCAGGAGUACCCACACCACUGGUUGUGAAUCGCUGCCGCAGCUCAUAGCACCAACAGCGUGAAUCCUGUCAUCUACCUUGUAAUGGAAUUCUAUCAAAAAACAUGGGCCAUUUAGAAAGGGGUCUCAACAAGUCUCAUUGAUUGGACCAUGGAUGAAAGUCGUUGUGGCCUAAAGGAUAAGACGUCCGGUGCAUUCAUGUUGAGUGAUGCACCGAUGUUCGAAUCCCAGGCGGGUACCAAUUUUUCUAAUGAAAUACGUACUCAACAAAUGUUCACGAUUGACUUACAUGGCGCAGAAAUAACAUUGUCUAACAAAAAUGAAAAACGCAAAAUUAUAAUUUGCGUAAUUACUGGUGGUAGGACCUGUUGUGAGACCGCGCGGGUAGGUACCACCGCCCUGCCUAUUUCAGCCGUGAAGCAGUAAUGCGUUUCGGUUUGAAGGGUAAGACAGCCGCUGUAACUAUACUGAGAUCUUAGAACUUAUAUCUUAAGGUGGGUGGCGCAUUUACGUUGUAGAUGUCUAUGGGCUCUAGUAACCACUUAACACCAGGUGGGCUGUGAGUUCGUCCAACCAUCUAAGUAAUAAAAUAAAUAAUAGUUUAAAAAAAAUAACAAAAUACGCUUUUAUAUAAAAUCCAACUAAAAAAUAGAAAAUAUAUUUUAAUAAAUUUGAUUUAAAAAUAGUGUAAGAAAAAAUUAUUUUAUAGUAAAAAAAGUGUGGGGUGCUUUUCAGGAUAUUAUCAAAAUAGACCUUCUAGUCAUAUCUGUUCAUAACAUAUUUAUAACUACUGAUAUUAUGCAUUUGGAUUUUACUAUGGAUUUUAUAUGAAAGCGUAUUUUGUUAGUUUUUUAAACUAUUAUUAGUUUUUCAUUUUUUAGUUGAAUUUCAAUUUUUUCAAUAUUUUUUUUAAUAUUGAAUUGUCAUCGGUCCAUGUCGGUCAAAAUCAUGUUCAAAGAUUCCGUUACAAACAUACGUCUGAAGCUACUAAAAGCGUUUUAAAAAAAAUAUUUAACUACACUUUUUUAAUAUCAUGAUCAACCAUGACUACUUCCAGACACCACAUAUAUACCAUAGACAUAAUAUAGUUGGCAUCACAAAUACAAAUUACUUAUUAACAAAAAAAUGUAGCUUUAUCCAUUAUGCACUUUGAUAAAGCUAUAUUUUACUUACACAUAAUUUUUAUUGCUAAGUAAGCCAUUUCUUCUUUUAUAAUUAUAUUUAUAAGCAUGUAUAGUGUGUGUAUAAUAUAAGUGUUGUGUGGUGAAAUUGAAAAUUGGACAAACAUUCUCAUAUAGUAAAUUUUAUUACAUGUCACUGAUCCAUUAAGAGUCCUUUAAUUUAGUACACAUAUACAAAUCAAUCAUCAAAAUCAGGUAUACUGAUUAUUUUGUUUUUAUUUUAUGAAUCAAUGAUUAAGUAAUGCAUUCAACCAAUUGAUUGCCUUUUUUGCAGAACCAUGCUUUUUGUGUUUAGCACGUUUUACUUAGUAUUAAAAUAAAUAUUCUAGAAAUCAGUUUAAUGUCUUAAACAGAUUUUUGUAUUGUUUGGUGUUAGUUUCUUGAAAUCUACAAAAAUGAGUUUGUUUAAUGUGUAAUUCCUAGGUGCAUAGGGAAUUUGUUAAACUUUAUUUUGUGCCUUUCCUAAUUAUUUUUUUUUUUAAUUAUCUUCACAGUAUCAUGAAAGAUAACAAUAAUUGACAAAAAUAAAAUAUCGAGUAGCUAGAUAGCUGUGUUAAGCAUCACCAUUAUUUAAAAAUAAUUUAUAAAAAUUAAAGUACCAAUGCAUCAUCCCGAUUCAGCAUAAUAUAGACAGUAAGCUAACAGCGUGUAAACUUACCAAUAACGCAAAAAGUGCUGCCCAAUAAACACAAUCCUAUGCGCAAACAAACGGCCCGGUUCAGACUACUUGUCACACGUCGUGAAAAGUAGCUGAUGGGACAAUUCCACCGUUGAUCAUUAGGCUGCUGCUCGUACGUUACCGUCGUAGGUUGAUACACGGCACUCGUUGGCAUUGUCACUGAUUUUAAUUGAAUUUGCUUUUGGAAAAAAACAAUUUUGCACUUGCCUUUUUAACAACAACUUCACUUUCACAAGAACUACGUGAAUUACUACUACAAGAAAAGAAAAGCGUGUGUAGAGUGCACUAUUUAAAAACCAAAAUCACGUCAAGCAGUCGAAGAAUACAAAACUCAAGAUCAACUUUUAGUUUUUUUUUUAAGUGACUCAAUUGAACAAGCAAAGGGAACAUUGUUUAUACAGUGCCAAAAUUUAACAAACUUCAAACCUCGUUUGAAGAAACACAUAUCAUAGCGCUAACAAACACCGUGGAGGGAACUUAAUUAAAAAAAAUGAUGAAUGAUGGUACGUAGCAAAAAAUAAUGCUGGAAAUGUAUUGUGUACAGCACUAAAAUAAAAGGCUCCUUCUCAGUGAACGUAAGCCCGUAUCUUCAAUGCCUUCGCCGUCGGCAGGAUCCGAAGGCUGGGUCUGGAGGCGGUACUCGAGAAAUCCUAGGCCCUGUUGUUUUACGGAGCCCGGAGAGCUUCACCUCAAAGGUCCCGCGACGUCCGCAGCCCGCAAUUGCAAUCAAGGCGGUUCGCGGGUACCGCACCGUUUCGGUCGAGGCGGCGUGCGUGCUUGCCGGGACGCCUCUCUGGGACCUGGAAUCGGAGGCGCUCGCUGCGGAUUACGCGUGGCGAUGCGAUCUCCGCUUCAAGGGCGAACCGCGUCCUGGCACGGCAGAAAUUCGAGUGCGGAAGCUUCAAUUUCGGCGUGCCGUGCUCGAUGCGUGGUGAAGGCGAUCCGCCCGGUCCUCUCGGAUUGAUUGAAUCGCGACCAAGGACGUCUCAACGACGCAGGUGCUUACGGGAUACGUCUAUUUCGGCCGUUACCUGCACCUCGCCGCCCGAAGGAAGCCGACGCCGAAGUGCCACCACUGUAGUGGAUGUAACGAGGACACGGCGGAGCACACGGUUGCGUAUAUACUGCCCCGCCUUUUCGGAGCAGCGCCGCGUCCUUAUUGCAAAAUUAGGACCAGAUUUGUCGCUUCCGACCGUCGUGGCUACGAUGCUCGACAGCGAGGAGUCCUGGCAGGUGAUGCUCGAAUGCUGCGAGUCCACUAUCUCGCAGAAGGAGGCGACGGAACGGGAGAGGGAGAGCUCUUCUUCCCCCUCGGCGCCGUGGCGCUGCUCUCGAGCUUGGGGUCGGAGGAGGAUGUUCGUCCAGCUCCGACCUCUGUGACAAGGCAAUCUCCUCCCGGUGAUAGUCACAGGGCGACCUGAGGGGAUCGAGGCUGCGCUGCACGCUACCGUCAUUUUAGCGUGUUGGCACUAGGAGGAUGGGACGGCGCGUUGUCGGCUGCGGUCCGAAUUGCCGUUGUCGCUGUCGUCCCCGAACACACUGUGAAAGAACAACCCGGCGGGCAGUGUAUCGCGUUCCAAUCCGGCAGCAGGCCGAAAAAAAAACCCGUAUCUUCAAUAGGUUGAAUUGAACUGAUUUCAAUUCACCAUGUUCCGAGACAUGUUCCAGAGUUCCCCACUUCAGACACAAGUUUCGAUCGCCUAACCUUCACACAACGAUGCCAGAAACUGUUGGACGCUAUAUCGCACAUCAUACCGCGCAUAGUAAGGUUUUUUUUUGCUCUUGUAGGCAGACGAACAUACAGCCCACCUGAUGGUGAGUAGUUACCGUCGCUCAUGCACGCCAGCAAUAGCAGGCGAAUAGCCAAGCCGCUGCCUACCGCUGCUCUCCGGAAGUCUCAUCUGUAGAAGGACAUAUCAUAGUGCCUGGGAAACACUGUAGAGGGGAGAGUUCAUUCCAAAGCCGGAUGGUGCAAAAAUGAUCUCUGGAAACUACUGUGGAUGAACGCAGUGAAAUGUUAUUUGUAGUUAUAAUAAAUAUUGAAUAAAAACAGUCUUAUAGUGCAAAAAUAUUUAAUAUGAUUUAAAUAUAAGUUGUCUAUGGCUAAUAAAUAUUUUAUAUCUCUAAGGCUCGCCUCUGUCGGAACAGAACAAUAGUAAAUAGACAAUUAUCUUUACUAAUCAACGAAAAUAUCCAAUAACAUAGUAUCUACAUCUGCGCGGUCCGACAUUUUUACAUUUCAGUACCCACAGAUUUAGUUGUUACUAUACUCUACGACAGCGAGUACGAUAACAUCACUAUAGGCCUAUCGCUAAUCUUGCAGAGUGCUGUCAGUUUUAUGCGAGGUCCUGAUGGCGUGAGGAGUCACAAAGCGCAUAUUAUUGAAGUACAAGAGCCAUACAAAUGUAGUUAAAGUGAAUAGAUGGAUCGCGAUUAGGAUCCGGCCGGAGAAUCUGCGAAGCACUGCUCUUACUAUGGCUAGUGUUAGCAAAUUCUCUCAAAUUGAGCCCGUGAGCUCACCUACCCGUCCGCGCGUAACUGGAAUAGCCCCUUAGGCUAAAGCGAAUAGGUAGGGGGGAAAAAGGGGAGAGUGUUGAAUUUCAAGUUGAGAAGUUGCCACCUGGGUUACUUUUAUUGGUAAUAACACAACCAAAAUAGAUUCAACUAAGUUUUCCAACUAUGAACUUUGUAUUAUUCAAAAUAAAAAUCAUUUUAGAAUAGCUCUGUCGCUCCUGCACCAUGCCAGUACCUCAGUGAACUUCUCGGUUAAGCGAUAGUCCUUGUUACUUUAAAUUACAACUAACAGCCCUGCAACAGGUAAAAGGCACUUGUUUUAACUAAUUCAUAGUAUUGAGUUUUACAAUUUUUAAAUGAAAUUCAUUUUGUAUAAAUUGUUAUUAAUGAUUUGUAAUGUACACCUGAACACGUACUGUUGUUCUCAGAGUACUUACAGACUUAAGACAAAUAUUAUUAAAUUAGGCAAAAUAUACAAAAGUCUGAACAAUAAAGAAACGGAUAAAAAACUAAAAAGAAUAGAUUUAAAAUCAUUAUGUCUACUGCUUUUAUGUUGCGCAUUAUUUAUUAGACAAUUCAUUAAAAAAAAUACAAUACAAUUAUUAAUAUGUAGUUUGUUUUUGAACAUUAUCUAUCAUAAUAGUUUUGUUUGAGAAAUUAAAUUUAUUUUUAGUGUACUUUUGUAUGUUUUGAUUUACAAGUAUCUUCCUUACAAAGUCUAGUUCCGAUUUUAUUUGAUUAGUUUGUUUUGUGGUAUGAUCAGUGUAGUUUAUAAAUCAUAGAAAAGUUAAAAUUCACAAAAGUAUAAAUUUACAGAAUAAAAACGGUUACAUUAAAUUAUAAAAAUACAAUCUUAACAUAAUAUAAACAGUAAAUGGAAGAAUUCUUAAAAUUAAUACGAAUAAUAUAGUACAACCGUCAGUCGUUUAAAGUGAAUUAACUGUGUGUAAGUAAACCAUUCCCGAUGUCGAGUUGGGAAUAAAUCACUACUCUUAGGGCCUGUGCACACCGCGUUUUUUAAACGCGCCGUCGACGCGCGUUCGUAGCGAUACAGACGCGAUACGCACGCAAGUCAGACGCAGCCUGUAACCCUUUGCACACCUGUACAAAUUCAAAUACGCGUUUGAAUCGAUACAGACGUCAUGCUAACGCGCGUUUGUAUCACGUUUGUAUCGAUACAAACGACAAGAAAUCAUUCUGUGGGAUAAAAACGCACCGUCGACGCGCGUUUGUAUCGAUACAGACGACAACAAACCGCUCUGUAGGAUAAAAGCGCGUCGACGGCGCGCUUAAAAAACGUGGUGUGCACAAGCACUUACUCCAACGGAGAAUUAUAUUAAUAUGAUACAAUACAUGAAUUUUAUUGCCCUAAAAGGCAGCACGAACCCAUCAAUGCUAGGGGUAAGUCUGAGCCGCGCCCUACCGAAGACUCAUUUCGAACCUCAAUGGAAGUACUAGGCAUUAUGUUCGAGUAAUCUAAAGCCGGAAACGUUUAUUUUUCAGUUAGGUCGUAUUAGAAAACAUUUGGUAUUCGAAAUCUUAAAUCGUAUUAGAUUAUAUUUUGAUCGACAUAUCGUAUUAGAAAACGUUGCCUCUUUUAUAUUCAUCAAGAUAGUCGCUUUUGGAUUGUAUUGCGUUGCGUGCAAGGUUGCUUUCAAAUAAUACCUAAGCAAGCUUGGCGGGCGGAGGGAUAUUCUUUAUCUUUUGAUUGUAAAAUUUGUUUUGAUUACAUUGAAACAAAUAUACAUAAUUUUCAAUAAAAAUGAAUAAUUAUAAUAAUACCAAAUUUAACAUUUAUGUAAACAGACGUAGUGGAGUCUAAAAUCAUUAAAAUUUUCUUAGACAAUACUCGAACGCAAAAAGCAUUACUGAGGUAACCCACCUUUUUCAGGUUUAAUGUGUUGGAAAUCACCAGUGCUAAAACAUUUCUUCGUUUUCGGGAACGCUUUUAAUACACAUUUUUGUUUAUAAUAUCAAUAUUGUCUAUGCAAAUGAAACAAUACAAUAUCCGUGUUUUUAUAAGGCACCACAAAACUGAGCAUUAGCUGAGACAAAAAAGUUUCACAAAUUUUGUUUUAUACCUAUAUAAUAUCGUUUUGUACUAAUAAACUUACCUAUUCCAUAUGUCAGUAACAUUGGUAUAUUUUGUACACAAAUACGUAGUUUUAAAAAAAAAAAAAAAAAGAUUUUUUUACAUAUACACACACACAUAACACUACAUAUCAAACAACCAAUAACCAAAGAUAGUUGAACUAAAUUAGGCCUUAAUGACACGAGUUAAACUAGGUAUACAUUAGUUUUCCAUUGUUUCGUUUGACCAAUAAUAUUUAAUAGAUGAAUUAUUUAUUAGCUGUAAAACGUAAUAUGAGUUCGAUGAACCCUGAACACUGACCGAUUCAGAUUGAUUGUUGUUUGUCAGUAGAGGUGCAUUUUGUAUGCUUAAAUUUUAUACUAUUUUUUUGCAUUGCACUAGCUGUAAAUAUACGAGUAGUACAUUUGCUCGUUACUGUCAAUAAAAGUUAUCUAUAUUGAGAGACUCUGUAAUUGUAUCAAAAAAAAUGAAAUAAAAGAAAAUAUGUGUAUC